CUGCUAACUUUGAGAUAGGGUGUGCUUGUCAUUAUUGAUGACAAAACACUCCCUAUCUGGCCCUGCCCCCUUCUCAGUGGGCCGCUGUGAUUAGAAAAUGCCCGGACUGAAUUUGUUCCCCAGUCCGGCCUUGGUGCUGCCAUUAGUAUAUGUUUAUACAUGCAUUUUCUAGUCUCUGAUUAGCAUAUGAAUUCUAACUGGAUUUUGCCUGGUCAAAAAAACACACCAAGAUACUAAUAGAUAUCCAGCUGUGAUUACACAUUGAUCAGCACUCAUUACCUG